rnacentral:rRNA from 1 species
CCUGAUGCAGCGACGCCGCGUGAGGGAUGACGGCCUUCGGGUUGUAAACCUCUUUCAGCAGGGAAGAAGCGAAAGUGACGGUACCUGCAGAAGAAGCGCCAGCUAACUACGUGCCAGCAGCCGCGGUAAUACGUAGGGCGCAAGCGUUGUCCGGAAUUAUUGGGCGUAAAGAGCUCGUAGGCGGCUUGUCACGUCGAUUGUGAAAGCCCGAGGCUUAACCUCGGGUCUGCAGUCGAUACGGGCUAGCUAGAGUGUGGUAGGGGAGAUCGGAAUUCCUGGUGUAGCGGCGAAAUGCGCAGAUAUCAGGAGGAACACCGGUGGCGAAGGCGGAUCUCUGGGCCAUUACUGACGCUGAGGAGCGGAAGCGUGGGGAGCGAACAGGAUUAGAUACCCUGGUAGUCCACGCCGUAAACGGUGGGAACUAGGUGUUGGCGACAUUCCACGUCGUCGGUGCCGCAGCUAACGCAUUAAGUUCCCCGCCUGGGGAGUACGGUCGCAAG